rfam:Candidatus Burkholderia crenata strain TZHbot9 BCREchr_ctg149, whole genome shotgun sequence.
CGCCCAGCAUGGGCGCAAUCUUGGAAGUGUAAGUCCUCCCGUGAGCUGAUGUACAAGAACCGGAUAGGCGGUGCCGAUCAGGGCAAGCGGGCGCUUAACCGCGAAGCUCUCGUGGUCAAGGAUUAGGUGCGGUAAAUCCGGUGGUUGUGCGGUGAAGGAUUGCGU